UACGAGAGGUGCAAGCGUUACUCGGAAUCACUGGGCGUAAAGCGCACGUAGGCGGAUUGGUAUGUCAAUUGUGAAAUACCUGGGCUCAACCCGGGCACUGCAGUUGAAACUGCCUUUCUUGAAUGCUUGAGAGGGUGGGGGAAUACCUAGUGGAGAAGUGAAAUUCGUAGAGAUUAGGUGGAACACCGGAGGCGAAGGCGCCUGCCUGGCAAUGCAUUGACGCUGAGGUGCGAAAGUGUGGGGAGCAAACAGGAUUAGAUACCCUGGUAGUCCACACCGUAAACGAUGGAUACUAGGCGUGCGGAGAGUUAACCCUCUGCGUGCCAAAGUUCACACAUUAAGUAUCCCGCCUGGGAAGUACGGUCGCAAGACUAAA
rnacentral:rRNA from 1 species